GACGAACGCUGGCGGCGUGCUUAACACAUGCAAGUCGAGCGGAAAGGCCCUGCUUGCAGGGUACUCGAGUGGCGAACGGGUGAGUAACACGUGGGUGAUCUGCCCUGCACUUCGGGAUAAGCCUGGGAAACUGGGUCUAAUACCGGAUAUGACCUUCCAUGUAGUGUGGGGGGUGGAAAGAUUUAUCGGUGUGGGAUGAGCCCGCGGCCCAUCAGCUUGUUGGUGGGGUAAUGGCCUACCAAGGCGUCGACGGGUAGCCGGCCUGAGAGGGUGGACGGCCACAUUGGGACUGAGAUACGGCCCAGACUCCUACGGGAGGCAGCAGUGGGGAAUAUUGCACAAUGGGCGGAAGCCUGAUGCAGCGACGCCGCGUGGGGGAUGACGGCCUUCGGGUUGUAAACCUCUUUCGACAGGGACGAAGCUUCGGUGACGGUACCUGUAUAAGAAGCACCGGCUAACUACGU
rnacentral:rRNA from 1 species